UGUCAUAUGUAGAGAGCUUCUCAAACCAACUUUACAAAUUUGUUGUAAUGUUCUUUCCUAAAUAAACCUCAACAAAAUCGCUUUCCUAAUAUAAUACUUUACGGUUUGUUUGUCAAUAUAAAACUCACAUACAUAGUUCCACGUAGAAAUACAAUUUGCAAGAAACUAAUUGACAUUUUUUCUCCUUGAUAAACCUCUCAAACUCGAUUACACAAUAUAUUCAAGUUUUCUUUAUCAAUACUAAACUCACAUACAAUUUCGAUUUGCUAAUAUAUUACAUGACACAUUUUAUAAAAACACAACUCAAAUAAUCUCACACUUUAAAUAUGAUUAGUUUAGAGUUCCAUAUCAAUACAACAGAACUCAUAAACAACUUUGAGUCAAUCAGUAACAAAUCAUUGCAUACCUCUUUUUUACUCAAUAAUAGUUAAAAAUUGGAUUUUUUUUUGAAUGCUUCCUUUCACCAUUGACAAAUUGUAGAGAAAUGAUUUUUCUUGAUAAUUUGUUUUUCUUUUUCUUCAACUAUUAUCUAGAUUUUGAUUUUGCAUGCAUUUAGAAAUUAUAAUAUGAAACUAUUGGUUCGAC
rnacentral:lncRNA from 1 species